rnacentral:rRNA from 1 species
AGAGUUUGAUCCUGGCUCAGAACGUACGCUGGCGGCACGCUUAACACAUGCAAGUCGAACGCAGUAGCAAUACUGAGUGGCAGACGGGUGAGUAUAAUGUGGGAAUCUGCCUUUUGGUUUGGAAUAACUCGGGGAAACUUGAGCUAAUACCGGAUAAGCCCUUACGGGGAAAGUUUUAAUGCCAAAAGAUGAGCCCGCACUUGAUUAGCUAGUUGGUAAGGUAAAAGCUUACCAAGGCAACGAUCAAUAGCUGUUCUUAGAGGAAGACCAGCCACAUUGGGACUGAGACACGGCCCAGACUCCUACGGGAGGCAGCAGUGGGGAAUCUUGCACAAUGGGGGAAACCCUGAUGCAGCGAUGCCGCGUGAGUGAAGAAGGCCUUUGGGUCGUAAAACUCUUUCGUCGGGGAAGAAAAUGACUGUACCCGAAUAAGAAGGUCCGGCUAACUUCGUGCCAGCAGCCGCGGU